CUGCUUUCGUUAUAAAAAUUUUAAAAUAUACAUGCUUUGAACUGCCUGUUUUCCAACAUCCUAGUGAGCCUGAAGAAUAAGAAUGAUAGCACACCUUCUGAAGGUAUAUGUGACCUGCUGGUUAUUGAAACUAACCUAACAAUUUAUUCUACUUCCAGUUGGGUUAUAGACUCUAGUUCUAAUACUCAUUUGUUCACUUCUAUACAGGAUCUUG
rnacentral:lncRNA from 1 species